AGUGAACGCUGGCGGUAGGCCUAACACAUGCAAGUCGAACGGCAGCACAGUAAGAGCUUGCUCUUACGGGUGGCGAGUGGCGGACGGGUGAGGAAUACAUCGGAAUCUACUUUUUCGUGGGGGAUAACGUAGGGAAACUUACGCUAAUACCGCAUACGACCUACGGGUGAAAGCAGGGGAUCUUCGGACCUUGCGCGAUUGAAUGAGCCGAUGUCGGAUUAGCUAGUUGGCGGGGUAAAGGCCCACCAAGGCGACGAUCCGUAGCUGGUCUGAGAGGAUGAUCAGCCAAACUGGAACUGAGACACGGUCCAGACUCCUACGGGAGGAAGAAGUGGGGAAUAUUGGACAAUGGGCGCAAGCCUGAUCCAGCCAUACCGCGUGGGUGAAGAAGGCCUUCGGGUUGUAAAGCCCUUUUGUUGGGAAAGAAAAGCAGCAGGGUAAUAACCCGCUGUUCUGACGGUACCCAAAGAAUAAGCACCGGCUAACUUCGUG
rnacentral:rRNA from 1 species